AGCUCAGUCGGUAGAGCAACUGAUUCGUAAUCAGUAGGUCGGAGGUUCGAUUCCUCUUUCCGGCACCA
rnacentral:tRNA from 1 species